CUUUUUAUUGAAAUCCAAAAAUCACUUAGGAUUUUUCCAGAUGCAAUAAUCACUGUAUGUUUAUCAUACUGUAACUUCUUAUGCAAUUAUGUAUGGAUUGUCUCUCCAAAUAAAACUUUGUGUUUAAUGAUUGUUGGAUCUGCUUGCUCAUGGAUCUCAUAAAACAGAGUGCUAUUUACAAAUAUUAAUUAAGAACACUAUAUGUCAAAACACCUUGCUUUUUCUACUUUCAAGUAGUAACAAUAUAUCAUACUGUUUUAUUAUUUAUAUUUAUUUUUAUUUUCAUUGUAUUACUUCUAUUCAUAAUGACGGCACACCAAGGAAUGUUUUUCCCUUAUGCCUCUGGGCGCAGGAUGGAUUCAGGAGAGCCAUACGGACACGUAGGGAGCUGCAGGGGUUAAGAGGGUUUAUCACUCCCCUUUCAUUAUUGUUUCCCCUCAGGUCCCUUUCUUUUAGACCAUUUACGCCAGCACAUCCAUUCCCAGCUUGAGUUUUGUGUGUUUUUUCAGCGCUGCUGCGCUAUCUAUUCCAUUUGCCUUCCAGCUAUCUUGUACUGGAAACCUUUCCAGCCUCCAAAAUGGCGCCGAUCGUUUUUGGACCGCCCACAGAGACCUUUUCCUUGGUCUCAUGUGUGCUGUCAUUACUUUUGGCUACAUUGGGAUCAGCUGAGCUUGUCAGCUGGGUGGAUUAUUUUCCUUCUGCUGACGCCCAGGUCAUGUGUCUGCACUGCGGCGCUUUGAUUGGUCAAUCAUCGCCGUGGUGGCAGAUUUAAAGCCCAAGCGCUGUGUUAGGCGCUCCAGCUGAGACCAGACCUAAUUAAUGCAAGGAAAGGCUGCUGUAUGCACAGCUAUCUAGGUGGCUCUGCCUUUUCAUCUUUGGACUUUGUCCUAAUCAGAGCGGAUGCCGCUUU